rnacentral:lncRNA from 9 species
GAUCGGCCGGUCGAUGGCUGCCAGCACGCACGCGCCGCCCGCCGGCCCGCACGCCCCGAGGCGGGUGAGACGGGGAGUGGGGCGGGCUCGUCUUAAAGGGACAGUGUCGCGCCGACUUCGCUCUUGUGGACCAGUUGAUGGUACAGACUCAGACUGCGGUGCCUUUGCGGUCCAGACUCACUGGAGAAGAUGGACACGCUCCCUUCCUACUCAUCUCUCCCACUACGGGGGCCAUAGCACGCAGAUCACCAAGAAGGUUAAAAGCAAAUAAUAGAUCUUCUGGGAUCUGCAACAGAGUUCAGCCACAGGCAGACCCCAGGCCUCUGAAAGCAGCAAGGUGGAGAGGAAGCAAGGGAAGGGGUAGGGAGGAAUUAGAGAAGACCGAGGAGGGGAGAAGAAAAGGACAAGCAGAAUGUCCUGGCAAGCAGCUUGGCAUAAGAGAAGAUGGAGUGGGCCAGACCUUGGAGCCCCUAGUUUUGCACUGCAGUCAGUUUGACCACUAAUAACCACUGACUGGUGACCUCAUGCAAGACCCUCCACCUCUCACAUUGUAACAUGGCUUUUGAGACCCUUCGCAAACUGUUACUAUCUAAAAAUCCUCCCUGGACCUCCCAGUGUCCACAGAACAAAAUUAAACUUAGAGCAUGUCGUGGACUGUGUCCAGGGUGCACUGCAACCUGGCCCAGGUCCUCUCCCUCCCUCCGCACAUCCCAUGCUCCAGCCUGCACGCCUCUAGCAAGCCACUUCCCCUCACAUCUCAGAGCCCUGGCCCAGGCUGUUUCCUCCGCCUGGGAUGCCCUCCCCACUUAACCCUUUGCAACUUUUCCAGAGCUGCCUAUCUACCCUUGUGUGGUGUUUUGGAAGAACCUCAGUUUCGCAUCUAUUUCCAUCUGCCUUAUACGGCCAGGGUCUCUUUCCUCCCUUUGUAAACACUGGCUCCCAGCCUCUUCUGGCCCCCCCACUCUCCUUCCUGCCUCAGGCUCCACUGGCCUCCUCUAUAGAGCUGAGCAGAAGCCCCUGUUACAUUUUGCCAGUGGGCUUUGCUCAUCUCCCCUGAAAAUCAAAGUGGGGGGUGGUAUUCCCUAGCAGAGGUUAAAUAUUUCCAUGCCAGUAAAAAGAUAAUUCCAAAGAUGAACUGGAAGAGUAAUUUAGAUUUGGAGAGUCCCAAGUGGGAGGAACCAUUGAUUUUUUUAAAUUAAAAAAUUGUUUUCAAAUUUUUUAGUAUUUUGGAAAAUUCAACUGUUUUACUGAAAUACAAUUCACACACCGUAUUAUUCAUAAUUUAAAUGUAUAAUUGUAUAUUUAAAGUAUACAAUUCAAUAGCUUUUUAGUAUAUUUACAGAGUUGUGCAAUCAUUACCACAAUCUAUUUUAUUUUAUUUUAUUUCAUUAUUAUUUUGUCUUUUUGUCUUUUUAGGGCCACACUCACGGCAUAUGGAGAUUCCCAGGCUAGGCGUCAAAUCGGAGCUGUAGCCGCCAGCCUAUGCCGAAGCCACAGCAACGGCAGAUCUGCGGAAUCUGCAAGCUACACCACAGCUCACGGCAACGCCGGAUCCUUAACACACUUAUCAAGGCCAGGGAUCAAACCUGCACCCUCAUGGUUCCUAGUCGAAUUCAUUUCCGCUGCGCCACACACUCCAGUUACCAAAAUCAAUUUUAGAACAUUUUCUUGGUCUCCAAAAAACAAACUCUAUACGCAUUAACAAUCAUUCACCAUUUCCUUUGCACCCCACCCCCUGCCCUAGGCAACCAGUAAUCUACAUUCAGUUUCCAUUGAUGUGCUUUUUCCAGACAUUUCAUGUACAGAAUCCUACAAUAUAUGGGCUUCAUUAUUGAUUUUUUGUGUAUUUCUUACCCCAACAUAAUGAAUCUUAAAGCUAAUUUUUUUUUUUUUUUGCUUUUUAGGGCCGCACCUGCAGCAUAUAGAGGUUCCCAAGCAAGGGGUCGAAUCAGAGCUACAGCUGCCAGCCUACAGGCAGGAUCCAAGCAGUGACUGCAACCUACACUACAGCUCACGGCAACGCCAGAUGCUUAACCCACUGAGCGAGGCCAGGGACUGACCCCGCAACUCCAUGGUUCCUAAUCGGAUUAAUUUCUGCUGUGCCGAGAUAGAACUCCUUAAAGCUAAUUUUUAAAUUUUCACUUAUUUAACCCCCUGCCUUAAAUCAAGAGGACUUACAGUGGCUUUUCAAGCUAAUAUUUCUGGGUCCUUCCAGAUUUCUAGUACAAAUCUUAAUACUCUGGAAAAUGGCUUGGUGGUUAGAUGCAGGCUAAUGGCGAGUAGAGUAAUCAGUCAGCCCAGUUUGUUUUAAAUCCAAGGCCUUGGGCUUCCAGAGCUAAAACCAGUACAGUCCUGGGCAAACCAGGACAACCUGGUCACCCCCGUGGAAUGAGUCAGAGGGCAUGGUAUUCCUUCUCUUUCUUCCAGGAAUCUAGGAGCGUGUGCCUCUACCACUUAGAGGGCAGGAAAGAGGAGCAUGGCUCCAUGAAAGUGAAGGUCAGAAGAGGUUCAAACUUAGUACCACUGACCCUUGAACAGGGCGGGGGUAGGGACCCCCACCCUCUUGGCAGUCAGAAAUCCACAUAUAACUUAUAGUCAACCCACCUUAUAUGGGGUUCCUCUGUGUCCACAGUUGAAUCCACAUCAAAGGGGGAUGCUAUAGUAUUUAGUGAAAAAUACCUGCAUGUAAGUGGACCCAAGCAGUUCAAACCCAUGUUGUUCAAGGGUCAACUCUACUUGACAUCUCUGUUGCCAUUGUUGUUACAUAUAACAGCAGGAACGAUAGCUGAUAUUUAUUGAGCACCUACUGGGUGCCAGGUACUUGGUAGGGACUUUAUAUGGGUAACCACUAAUUUUGUUGUUGUAGUUGUUUAUGUUUAAUUUUAUGGCUAUGCCCAUGGCAUAUAGAAGUUCCUGGGCCAGAGACUGAACCUGAGCCACAGCUGUGACCUACACCACAACUGCAGCAACACCAGAUCCUGUAACUACUGUGCUGAGCUAGGAAUUGAACCUAUGCCCAUGCCUCCACAGCAACCGGAUUCUUAACCCACUGUUCCACAGCAGGAAUUCCAUGUAACCAUUAAUUUUGACAACACCCCUGAGUUAAAUAUUUUCAACCCCAUUUUACACAUAAGGAAGCAGUCUCAGAGAAAUGUUUGUUACAUCAAAUAUCAUAUGCAUGUUGCAAAACCAGAAUUCAUUCUUGUUUGUUCCAAAAGUCACACUUUUUCAAAUAAAUCAUAUGGCUUCUGCUCCCAAUAAAAAGGACCCAAAUGGUCCUUACAUACUCUUGCUCUUUUUGAAAGCACUUUCUUGCAC